CGCAAUGGGCGAAAGCCUGACGGAGCAAUACCGCGUGAGGGAGGAAGGCUCUUGGGUUGUAAACCUCUUUUCUCAGGGAAGAAGAUAUGACGGUACCUGAGGAAUAAGCAUCGGCUAACUCCGUGCCAGCAGCCGCGGUAAUACGGAGGAUGCAAGCGUUAUCCGGAAUGAUUGGGCGUAAAGGGUCCGCAGGUGGCAUUGAAAGUCUGCUGUUAAAGAGUCUAGCUCAACUAGAUAAGAGCAGUGGAAACUACAAAGCUAGAGUUUGGUCGGGGCAGAGGGAAUUCCUGGUGUAGCGGUGAAAUGCGUAGAUAUCAGGAAGAACACCAGUGGCGAAGGCGCUCUCCUAGGCCGAGCCUUUCUCUGAGGGACGAAAUCUA
rnacentral:rRNA from 1 species